rnacentral:rRNA from 1 species
UACGUAGGGUGCAGGCGUUAAUCGGAAUUAUUGGGCGUAAAGAGCUUGUAGGCGGUUUGUCGCGUCUGCUGUGAAAUUUCGGGGCUCAACCCCGAACUUGCAGUGGGUACGGGCAGACUAGAGUGUGGUAGGGGAGACUGGAAUUCCUGGUGUAGCGGUGAAAUGCGCAGAUAUCAGGAGGAACACCGAUGGCGAAGGCAGGUCUCUGGGCCAUAACUGACGCUGAGAAGCGAAAGCAUGGGGAGCGAACAGG